AUGACGCUGGCGGCAGGCCUAACACAUGCAAGUNNAGCGGUAACAGAGAGUAGCUUGCUACUUUGCUGACGAGCGGCGGACGGGUGAGUAAUGCUUGGGAAACUGCCCAGUCGUGGGGGACAACCAUUGGAAACGAUGGCUAAUACCGCAUACGCCCUCAGGGGGAAAGAAGGGGACUCUUCGGAGCCUUUCGCGAUUGGAUGUGCCCAAGUGGGAUUAGCUAGUUGGUGAGGUAAAGGCUCACCAAGGCAACGAUCCCUAGCUGGUUUGAGAGGAUGAUCAGCCACACUGGAACUGAGACACGGUCCAGACUCCUACGGGAGGCAGCAGUGGGGAAUAUUGCACAAUGGGCGCAAGCCUGAUGCAGCCAUGCCGCGUGUAUGAAGAAGGCCUUCGGGUUGUAAAGUACUUUCAGCGAGGAGGAAAGGUUAGUAGUUAAUAACUGCUAGCUGUGACGUUACUCGCAGAAGAAGGACCGGCUAACUCCGUGCCAGCAGCCGCGGUAAUACGGAGGGUCCGAGCGUUAAUCGGAAUUACUGGGCGUAAAGCGUACGCAGGCGGUUUGUUAAGCGAGAUGUGAAAGCCCCGGGCUCAACCUGGGAACUGCAUUUCGAACUGACAAACUAGAGUUUUGUAGAGGGUGGUAGAAUUUCAGGUGUAGCGGUGAAAUGCGUAGAGAUCUGAAGGAAUACCAGUGGCGAAGGCGGCCACCUGGACAAUAACUGACGCUCAUGUACGAAAGCGUGGGGAGCAAACGGGAUUAGAUACCCCGGUAGUCCACGCCGUAAACGAUGUCAACUAGCCGACUGACCCCUUGGAGGGU
rnacentral:rRNA from 1 species